GACGAACGCUGGCGGCGUGCUUAACACAUGCAAGUCGAACGGUGAAGGGACCGGUUUUUGCUGGUUCUGGAUGAGUGGCGAACGGGUGAGUAACACGUGAGUAACCUGCCCCCUUCUUCUGGAUAACCGCAUGAAAGUGUGGCUAAUACGGGAUAUUCUGCGCCUGCUGCAUGGUGGGUGUGGGAAAGAUAUUGUUUCGGUGGGGGAUGGGCUCGCGGCCUAUCAGCUUGUUGGUGGGGUGAUGGCCUACCAAGGCGGUGACGGGUAGCCGGCCUGAGAGGGUGGACGGUCACACUGGGACUGAGGCACGGCCCAGACUCCUACGGGAGGCAGCAGUGGGGAAUAUUGCACAAUGGGCGCAAGCCUGAUGCAGCGACGCCGCGUGAGGGAUGGAGGCCUUCGGGUUGUAAACCUCUUUCGCCAGUGAAGCAGGCCUGUCCCUUUUGUGGGUGGGUUGACGGUAGCUGGAUAAGAAGCGCCGGCUAACUACGUG
rnacentral:rRNA from 1 species